rnacentral:rRNA from 1 species
GACAGAGGUCUCGAGCGUUAGGCGGAAUCACUGGGCUUAAAGCGUGUGUAGGCGGACUUGUAAGUACCUUGUGAAAUCCCACGGCUCAACCGUGGAACUGCUUGGUAUACUGCUUGUCUUGGGCCAGCUAGGGGUUACCGGAACAAACGGUGGAGCGGUGAAAUGCGUAGAUAUCAGGAGGAACACCUAUUGCGAAGGCAGCUCGCUGGGACGUAACUGACGCUGAGACGCGAAAGCGUGGGGAGCAAACAGG